CACGUAGUUAGCCGGGCUUUCUUCUCAGGUACCGUCACUCCGUUAGCAGUUACUCUAACGGACGUUCUUCCCUGGCAACAGAGCUUUACGAUCCGAAAACCUUCAUCACUCACGCGGCGUUGCUCCGUCAGACUUUCGUCCAUUGCGGAAGAUUCCCUACUGCUGCCUCCCGUAGGAGUCUGGGCCGUGUCUCAGUCCCAGUGUGGCCGUUCACCCUCUCAGGUCGGCUACGCAUCGUCGCCUUGGUGAGCCGUUACCCCACCAACUAGCUAAUGCGCCGCAGGCCCAUCCGUAAGUGACAGAUUGCUCCGCCUUUCCCAAGUCCCUCAUGCGAGAGACUUGCGUAUCCGGUAUUAGCUACCGUUUCCGGUAGUUAUCCCAGUCUUACGGGCAGGUUGCCUACGUGUUACCUCACCCGUCCGCCGCUAAGUUCAUCAGGAGCAAGCUCCCGAUGAACUCCGCUCGACUUGCAUGUAUUAGGCACGCCGCCAGCGUCGUCUCGUAGUCACGGAC
rnacentral:rRNA from 1 species